rnacentral:rRNA from 1 species
AUUGAACGCUGGCGGCAGGCUUAACACAUGCAAGUCGAACGAGCGGCGGACGGGUGAGUAAUGUCUGGGAAACUGCCUGAUGGAGGGGGCUAACUACUGGAAACGGUAGCUAAUACCGCUUACCAUCAGAUGUGCCCAGAUGGGAUUAGCUUGUUGGUGGGGUAAUGGCUCCCCUAGGCGACGAUCCCUAGCUGGUCUGAAAGGAUGACCAGCCAACCGGGAACGGAGAAACGGUCCAGCGGCCUACGGGAGGCAGCAGGGGGGAAGAUGGCAGAAUGGGCGCAAGCCUGAUGCAGCCAUGCCGCGUGUGUGAAGAAGGCCUUCGGGUUGUAAAGUACUGUCAGCGGGGAGGCGUUACCCGCAGAAGAAGCACCGGCUAACUCCGUGCCAGCAGCCGCGGUAAUAC